AUUGAACGCUGGCGGCAGGCCUAACACAUGCAAGUCGAGCGGCAGCGGGACCUUCGGGUUGCCGGCGAGCGGCGGACGGGUGAGUAAUGCCUAGGAAUCUGCCUGGUAGUGGGGGAUAACGCGGGGAAACUCGCGCUAAUACCGCAUACGUCCUACGGGAGAAAGCGGGGGCUCUUUGGACCUCGCGCUAACAGAUGAGCCUAGGUCGGAUUAGCUAGUUGGUGGGGUAAUGGCUCACCAAGGCGACGAUCCGUAACUGGUCUGAGAGGAUGAUCAGUCACACUGGAACUGAGACACGGUCCAGACUCCUACGGGAGGCAGCAGUGGGGAAUAUUGGACAAUGGGCGAAAGCCUGAUCCAGCCAUGCCGCGUGUGUGAAGAAGGUCUUCGGAUUGUAAAGCACUUUAAGUCGGGAGGAAGGGCUGUAGGUUAAUACCCUGCGGUUUUGACGUUACCGACAGAAUAAGCACCGGCUAACUUCGUGCCAGCAGCCGCGGUAA
rnacentral:rRNA from 1 species